CUCUUUCCUAUCAAACCGUAAUAACAGUCAACAGCUGAGGUUGUUCAUGAAAGUAUAGUUUUCAUCAUGGAUGCAAAGCUUGCUGUGGUGCUGUCGGUCAUCUCGUGUGUGAUUAAUAUCAUCGGCCUGGCGAUUCCGUACUGGCUUACAUAUUCGAUAAAAGGGGUGAUUUUUCCGCCGGCUACAAUUUAGGCCUUUGGAUAGUCUGCGCAUAUACUGACGCGCCGGGCAACAGUAUUCGCAAAUGUCAAGCCUAUGAUGACCUUCCCAAUGUUUUUCUUCACACAAGGUAUAUUGAGCUCGUGGCCUGCAUCCUGAUUUUCUGCUCCACGAUAUGGGGACUCGUCCAGACGGUCUUGCAUACCCCUAAAGUCUUGUACACGAAACCGUCAGGAGUCAUAUGUAUCAUAGCAGGUAUUAUGGCGCUGGUUGGAUGCAUAGUGUUCGCGACUAACAGCGAAAUCAAGAUCUCCGUGACUCAGGGCUAUCGCUAUCACGCGGGGUUCGCCUUGUGUAUCGCAGCCGGGAUAAUGAGCCUUGUCAGCGGAGUGCUAUACAUGGUGGCUCGAAAGAACCCACAAGCACAGCCAGUAUAGCCAGUCGCCAUAAUUUGUCUUAUACAUAAAAUAUUUUGUAUAUUGUUUUAUCUUAGAGUGAAUUAACGAAAAAGUUAACCAAUACAUGUACAAAGUCUCAAAUGUAAACGAAAAACAUUUAAACUGGAGUUACACACAUUUAAAUGAGUUUUACCAAUAUAUUUUGGUUUGGCUUCUUGUAAAAAGUCAUUAUUCUAUUUUUGUCUAUUGUAUUCUACUAUAUAAUUAUUUACGCACGUCAAAUCACUUAAAGUAAGAGUGUUGCAUAAAUUCGUAUAAUGGUUUUUAAGCUUUUAUAUAAUUCCGCUGUUGGUGCAUUCUAAUUCUCGCUAUGAUAUUCGUGGCAAUUUAUUUUAUAUUGGAUAUUAAUAGUUAUAACUUGAAUACAACCUUAACACACUGGUUGUAUGGCUUGCAGCGGUCAAUGGUUGCAUAUUUAAGUGUUAUAUGUGU